UGCUCUGAUGAUAAUUGUAAUAGGAAGUGCCGUCCGAUUCGACAACUGACGACCUCCCUUCUUAAGCUGACC